UACAGAGGUCUCAAGCGUUGUUCGGAUUCAUUGGGCGUAAAGGGUGCGUAGGCGGCGGGGCAAGUCUGAUGUGAAAUCCCGGGGCUCAACCCCGGAACUGCAUUGGAUACUGCCUUGCUAGAGUACUGGAGAGGAGACUGGAAUUUACGGUGUAGCAGUGAAAUGCGUAGAUAUCGUAAGGAAGGCCAGUGGCGAAGGCGAGUCUCUGGACAGUUACUGACGCUGAGGCACGAAAGCGUGGGUAGCAAACAGG
rnacentral:rRNA from 1 species